AUGGACGUUGGAAUCCCAGGAUGUGAAUAUAAAUGUGCCCUGUCUCCAGCACUUAGCACACAGUUGAUGGCACCUAGCAGGUUAUUUGUAAGUAUCUGUUCAAGGAAGGAAGAAGAGAAACUGGUCUUCAAGUCAUGGCAGAGACAAAAGCUUUGGCAACUGAAUAACACCCUGAACAAUAAUCCACUGUUGGGUUUCCUGGCUCUAUCAUACAUCAGUGGACAGUCAUGGGCAAGUUCCUGAACUUCUCCGAGCCUCAGGCUUUCUUAUCUCUAAGUGGGUAAGUUCAUGUGUGCCUUGGGGGACUGCUAUAAGGAUUAAAGGAAGGAACUGCGCGUAACUAGCUAGGGAACAGAGAAGCCCAGCAGCAAAUUUUAGUUACCAUUUCUUUCUUUUUUAAAAAGAUUUUAUUUAUUUAUUCAUAAGAAACACACAGAGAGAGGCAGAGACAUAGGCAGAGGGAGAAGCAGGCUCUCUGUGGGGAGCCUGAUGCAGUACUCUAUCCCAGAACCCCCGAGAUCACACGACCUGAGCCAAAGGCAGACGCUCAACCACUGAGCCACCCAGGUGUUCCACAAACGUUAGGUACCUUUUCUAUAGAAACAGGAGGAUAGGGCAGCCUGAGUGGCUCAGUGGUUUAGUACCGCCUUUGGCCCAGGGCGUGAUCCUGGGGACCCAAGAUCAAGUCCCACAUUGGGCUCCCUGCAUGGAGCUUGCUUCUCCUUCUGCCUGUGUCUCUGCCUCUCUCUCUCUCUGUGACUCUCAUGAAUAAAAUAAAUAAAAUCUUAAAAAAAAAAAGAAAC
rnacentral:lncRNA from 12 species